rnacentral:rRNA from 1 species
GACGAACGCUGGCGGCGUGCUUAACACAUGCAAGUCGAACGGAAAGGCCCUGCUUUUGUGGGGUGCUCGAGUGGCGAACGGGUGAGUAACACGUGAGUAACCUGCCCUUGACUUUGGGAUAACUUCAGGAAACUGGGGCUAAUACCGGAUAGGAGCUCCUGCUGCAUGGUGGGGGUUGGAAAGUUUCGGCGGUUGGGGAUGGACUCGCGGCUUAUCAGCUUGUUGGUGGGGUAGUGGCUUACCAAGGCUUUGACGGGUAGCCGGCCUGAGAGGGUGACCGGCCACAUUGGGACUGCGAUACGGCCCAGACUGCUAUGGGAGGCAGCAGUGGGGAAUAUUGCACAAUGGGAGGAAGCCUGAUGCAGCAACGCCGCGUGCGGGAUGACGUCCUGCUGGUUGUAAACCGCUUUCGCCUGUGACGAAGCGUGAGUGACGGUAAUGGGUAAAGAAGCACCGGCUAACUACGUG